rnacentral:sRNA from 1 species
CGGACAGGUGCAGUAGUAAUUGCAAUCGUCACUGCCUCACUCAGUCACUUUCACUGUUGGUCAGCAGCUGAGGGUUUGCCUUCCAUUCCAUUUCCAGGUCUGAGCUGAGCUUUGUCAGAGAUUCAUAGUCCAUCUUUUGCUUCCAUGGAAACGUAAAUCUCUCCUCUCCAGUCUCCACCGAUGAUGCUUUUAACUGUUUGCUUUCUCAUGGUUAAGGGUGUGAAUUGAAAUGGUAGAUCGAAGGGUCAGAAGAAGGUGAAGGACGAUCUUGUAUCCGUCGACUUCUCCUGGGAAGUUCAAAACUUUUCCAAGUUGAAUAACUUCAAGCAUUACUCUGACGUUUUCGCAAUCGACGAUUAUAAAUGGCAAAUCCUUUUGUAUCCAAGGGGAAACAAUGUAGACUUCCUAUCGGUGUAUUUGGUUGUUGUGGAGUCUUCAAAACUGCCACCAGGAUGGUCUAGAUAUGCUGCUUUCAGCUUGACUUUGGUCAAUCAACUUCAUCCCAGCAACUCAAAAACAUUGGAUACGAGCAAAGACAACACUGACUAGACAGGAAGUAGAAUGGUAGCAGUAAGCCGACACUGAGCAUGUGUUCGAUAAAAGGGGAAGUGACUGGGGCUUCACAUCGUUAAUUCCUCUAAGUGAGUUUUGUGACAGUGGUAAAGGGUAUCUUGUGAAUGAUAUGUGUAUCAUUAGGGCCAAAGUUGCUGUCUCGAAGGCUGAAAUUAAUAUAUUAGAACACAAUGCAAGUAGUUCUGCACCUAUUAAGCACUUAAACAAAAAACGUAGAGUGCUGGAUUACGUGCUGGCCAUCAACGACCUUACUUAUGCUCCUCCUGGCCCUCCCAUAGUCAAGGAACCUGAGGACAUGUCUUCCCCACCAGCUGCAGAGCUCGAGGAUUUUAGGGGUUUAGGGAAAAUAGAGAAAGCUUUCGUUCCUCUGCUAGAUGAGGUUUGUUCGUGGCAUCCUUCGCUGACUGAAUGUCAACGCAAGAGAAGUCGCAUGUUUACUGAGUGGGCGUUCACAGCUUUGGGCCGGCUAUUGCAUUUUAUGAAGACGAAAAAGGUCAAGGACAUGACAGAUGAUGCAUGUGAGCAACUGAAACUUUUGUGGGAGGAGCUUGAGGCCUUCAAAUUUGACUUGGCUUGGCUGGCGCCUGGUGUUCAAAGGGCUUUGGACAUGAACAAGAUUGUGGAAAGUGCAGGGAAGUUGAAAAGGUUGAGAAAGGACGUGGACUAGCUGUUGCGGAGGCAAAUCUUGAGGCAGCAGUAAGAGAUUUAAACAAGACUGAAGAAGGCCUGGACGAGAUAGACAUCAACGGUGAGCUAGUUUACGGUAGGGGUUAGCCUUAUUUGAGGAUUCUUUUUUGACGUGCUCCUCAAGUUUGUUAAUGUAGGAUUUUCAAGUUGUAUGAAUAAACAAAUAAAC